GACGAACCGUGCAAACGUUGUUCGGAAUCACUGGGCUUAAAGGGCGCGUAGGCGGUCGACCAAGUCCGGGGUGAAAUCUUUCGGCUUAACCGGAAAAGUGCCUUGGAUACUGGCCGGCUGGAGGGAGGUAGGGGCAGGUGGAACUUCCAGUGGAGCGGUGAAAUGCGUUGAUAUUGGAAGGAACGCCGGUGGCGAAAGCGAUCUGCUGGACCUCUUCUGACGCUGAGGCGCGAAAGCUAGGGGAGCAAACGGG
rnacentral:rRNA from 1 species